GGCCCUGUAGUGAAGUUCAUAAUGAGUUGCAAACUCGUAGAUGUACAUUAGUCAUGUGCCGGGGUCU
rnacentral:tRNA from 1 species